GUCCCUAUCGAUUAGUGGUUAAAUCAUCACGUUGUGGUGGACCCGUCUGCUCCGUGAAGCCGCGUGUUCGACUCACGCUAGGGACA
rnacentral:tRNA from 1 species